GACGAACGCUGGCGGCGUGCUUAACACAUGCAAGUCGAACGGAAAGGCCCUGCUUUUGUGGGGUGCUCGAGUGGCGAACGGGUGAGUAACACGUGAGUAACCUGCCCUUGACUUUAGGAUAACUUCAGGAAACUGGGGCUAAUACCGGAUAGGAGCUCCUGCUGCAUGGUGGGGGUUGGAAAGUUUCGGCGGUUGGGGAUGGACUCGCGGCUUAUCAGCUUGUUGGUGGGGUAGUGGCUUACCAAGGCUUUGACGGGUAGCCGGCCUGAGAGGGUGACCGGCCACAUGGGGACUGAGAUACGGCCCAGACUGCUACGGGAGGCAGCAGUGGGGAAUAUUGCACAAUGGGCGGAAGCCUGAUGCAGCAACGCCGCGUGCGGGAUGACGGCCUUCGGGUUGUAAACCGCUUUCGCCUGUGACGAAGCGUGAGUGACGGUAAUGGGUAAAGAAGCACCGGCUAACUACGUG
rnacentral:rRNA from 1 species